rnacentral:tRNA from 1 species
GCUCAGUGGUAGAGCGCUUGCCUUGAAUGCAUGAGGCCCUGGGUUCGAUUCCUCAG